CCAACACUGCCAAUCAAAGAAUUAAUAGAGAUUUCUAAUACUCCUUCAUUCCCUUCUCCAUUAACAGGUAAGGAUUCUUCAGUGGAUUCCUCCUCAAUCAACCCAUCAGUAGGAUGCUCAGCUCCUUCUUCCAGGGAAUUUAACUCUUUAACCUUGCAUUGGUGGCCAGGAAGAAACUUAUCUCCACAUUUAAAACAUAGGUUAUCGGUUUUUUUUGUACUCCAUGAUAUUAUGUCUGUUAGGAACAAUAGGUGGUGGGGUCAUGUUUGGUCUAGGUGUGGUAGAGUUUGUGGUAGGAUAGGCUUUUGUAUAUGUAGAGGAAGAGUUUGGUUGGGAAAAUUUAGGUUUUUAUUUUUUUGCUUCAAGUUCCAUGGAAAGUUCAUGAAGUUUAGCGUGUUGAAAGGCAAUAGACAAAGAUGAAGGUUCAUUGUCUAACUUUUGUGAGUCCACUCACAAAACUGGACACAAAAUACUCUUCAUUUAAGUGCAAAUUAUACUGGAGCAUGAGACCUCAAGUCUUCAAAUAUUUCUUGCUGUUCCUGGAGUUGCUACAUCGCGGUACCAUCAGAACCAAGUAUGACAAUGGCCUUCCUCAGCUUUCCCAGCUCGAACCGAUAGAUCUUUCGGUAGCUUUAAUACCAAAUUGUUAUAACCCACUUGUUUGUGUACUGAAAUUACUGAAGAAAUUAGAGGUUUGAGAAUGGAAGAAGAUGGAGAAGAGAAGAGUUUUGAUAUUUCAUUCAGGAUAGAGAAACAAUUGUUACAGCAACCCUUAUACAUGAAAUUGUUGUAACAAAUUUGUAAUCAAAUUGUACUAUCAUUAUUUUUAGACAGUUGGCAUCAACAUUUCAGGGGCUCCUGGCUUGAAAUCAUCAGUAUCCUUCAGCUCUGGAUAUUGAGCCUUUUCCUUUCAGAGCAUAAAGAUUUGUUGACCCA